UAUCUCAGAAUCUUGUAUCUUGAAUAAGAACUUGAAGGCAACUUUGCCAAGGUGAUUAGUUGCUUGUUGAUUUCCUCUUUUCCCUGUUGCCUAUAUUCUCUUUUCGCCACACAUGGUUUCAUUUUGGAAGGCAACUUUGCCGAGGUGAUUAAUUGAUUCUUGAUUACCUCUUUUCCCUGUUGCCUAUAUUAUGUUUGGCCAUACUUGGUUUCACUUGGGUUGAUCUAUUCCAUGUGGUUAUUGCCUGCUGUCCCAUAUAGGCCGAACAUCUUUUUCAUAAACAGUACAUUGUUGAAGUGAUUCAUUUUGAAGUCAUUGAUGUGAAAUGGUAUCUCAGAAUCUUGUAUCUUGAAUAAGAACUUGAAGGCAACUUUGCCAAGGUGAUUAGUUGCUUGUUGAUUUCCUCUUUUCCCUGUUGCCUAUAUUCUCUUUUCGCCACACAUGAUUUCAUUUUGGAAGGCAACUUUGCCGAGGUGAUUAAUUGAUUCUUGAUUACCUCUUUUCCCUGUUGCCUAUAUUAUGUUUGGCCAUACUUGGUUUCACUUGGGUUGAUCUAUUCCAUGUGGUUAUUACCUGCUGUCCCAUAUAGGCCGAACACCUUUUUCAUAAACAGUACAUUGUUGAAGUGAUUCAUUUUGAAGUCAUUGAUGUGAAAUGGUAUCUCAGAAUUUUGUAUCUUGAAUAAGAACUUGAAGGCAACUUUGCCAAGGUGAUUAGUUGCUUGUUGAUUUCCUCUUUUCCCUGUUGCCUAUAUUCUCUUUUCGCCACACAUGGUUUCAUUUUGGAAGGCAACUUUGCCGAGGUGAUUAAUUGAUUCUUGAUUACCUCUUUUCCCUGUUGCCUAUAUUAUGUUUGGCCAUGCUUGGGUUCAUUGGGGUUGAUCUAUUCCCUGUGGUUAUUAC
rnacentral:lncRNA from 1 species